GGUGUUACCCCACCUCCCUAUCCCGUCUGCGACUCCCUCCAGCGCUGCCGCCGCCGCCUUUGCGCCGCCAACCCGGCGGCACCUCUCGCCGACGACCACCACGGGUGCGCCUCCCUCUCCCUCGAGACUCCAGCUCCCCAGUGGCCUUCACCUCUUUCCCCCAAGUCCAAGUCCAGGACCACCAAUUUGGUCAAAUUCCACGUCGCCGCCGGUCAUGGUCGGCCGCGCCGCCGCCCCUGGUCGACCCGAACGCCGAGGCGGACAGAGGGCUGCUGUGCUGAUGCACCGGGGUGUAGCGCAGCUCGGCAGCCGGGCUGCUAUGGUGGUGUUGAUCGUGGAGGACAGGAAACCGGUGGCAAGGAAGCCCCAUCCUCUGCAAACAAUGUCGACCUUAAUUGCAGAUGUUUCUGUGUUUGUUUUCGAUGAAGUGGAUUGCUUGCUAGAGAGAGGAUUCAGAGAUUAGGCCAUGUAGAUCUUUCGCGCACUCUCACAUCCAUAGGUCAUGAUGUUUUCAGUAACAGUACGUUCCAAAAUUGUCAAAGUCGCUGUCUUACACCAUGGUUGAUACAUGGAGUAUUUGUUGUGGGAGCCAAUCAAAUCAAUUAGAUAGGUGGUAAUUUGGGUGGAGUCUAUGCAGAAGAAGCAGAAGAUUUUUGAGAUAAUGAAGAGUAAGCAGUACUUCAAACCUCCCGCUAUUGUAUUUGUGAGAUCCAGAGUUGGCGAUCCCUUGUCUGAAGCAAUUACUGCUGCUACUGGGCUGGAGUAAUUUCUAUUAAAGGUGAGAAAAAAAUGAAAGAGAGAAGAGAAAGAUUGAGGCCGAUUCUCACUGGAGAAGUAUAUGUUGUUGUUUGAGACCCUUGUUGUUUGUACACGGGUCUAGGGAUGUUGAAUGGAUCUUCUGAAACUACAUCAAGUUUUUGUUUGACAUGCCAAAUUCCAUUGAUGAAUAUAUUCACCAAGUUGGAAGAACGUCUCGGAUGGGGCGAAUCGACAAUUUUGCAUGACGGCCGAGUUUCGUGGUUAGGCUGGUGGGUGGUAACAACGGUGAGAUGCCGGGGGCGGUGGUGCGUGCGAGAGAAGCACGUUUUGUGGGAUAGGUGGGGUGCGGCGACCACCCUGUGCAAAACCCAUCGCCAGUCACCAAUUCAGAUCAGAAGAACUACUCGAGCAUGCCAUUAAGUCGUGCCGGACAUGAACUCCACCUGAAUUGCGAAACUUUGCCACAUAAAACGCCUUGAGCCCCUCUACGGAAGCCACAUCUGAAUUAAAAUUUUCAUUGAUUGAAAUCAUCUCACUGGAAGCAUACAAUCUUGCUUUUCUACCAACAUGGCUGGAAUGCCGACCACCCGCGCUCCACCUGGAGUACGCCGUUGUACAAUUUGCAGCCACAUGUGAAGAUAAAUGCGACAUGUCUGUUAUGUUUCUGUUUUUUCAAUUGAAUUUUGUGAGUUGAUAUGAUUUUGAAUAUUUUGCAGUUGCUUGCUGUAACAUAUGCCUUCAGGUAGAUUGAUGUAGAUAGAAUCAUACUGCUAAUUUCCUUUACUUCAUCGCAAAGAUGUUCUAUUUGUUUUUUUGGCUCUAUUGUGAUGAUCAUCAGAAACAACCUCUCUUUGCUAUUCAUAUUGUUAAAUUCAGUUCUAGCGACCUCGAGGAAAUAACGUGUUAUACGCCUGACACAUGAUUGAUAACUAACUUGCUUGAGGGCUGUGAUGUUAAUCUUUUAGUAUCACUAACAUAUCCACUAUGAUUGAUUUUACAAGGCAUGAAGGUGGUGGGCCCAGCAAGGAGUAUGGGGAUUCAGCAGGACAUCCUUGCAGGAGCAGUCCAGAAGAGGCUGCCAUUGGCGUCACAUUCAAGCAGUUGAGUACUUGAGUUACAUUCAUAAAGGUGUUACUGCCAAGCCUGGAUUCGAGUGGAGAAUCCUCCAAUAGGAGCAGCAUCUGCCUACAACAGUUGUGGAUCGGGAAUGCAAGCCGGAUCGCCUCCACGUGGGCUGCUGUUGCAAGGUGGACCUACUGCUGUUAACAAAGAGUGUGGUGAACAAUGGCGCAACACGAGCAAGAAGGAUACGAUGAAGUUCAUGUACAAUGAACUCGAGGGGUUGAAAGGAACAGCCGGUGUCUAAGGUGGAGAAGGGCAACCAACAACUGCAAAUACAAUUAGUUCUGCAACACAUGGUGGGAGGUGCUACUCGCCUGCUGCACACCCUUGUCCUCUCCCAUCCAGUGCGGCUCACAACCUGCUAUAGAGACGACGCUUGCCGGCUCCCGUGCAGGCCCUCCUCGCAGACAGCCUCCAGCCCAAACCAGCUCCCCUGUUCUGGCUCUGCCGCAUCCCGUGGCUGAGCAGAGCGAGGAGACCAAGAGACAAAAUACUUGGUUGAUUUUGCAGGCAGGGGGAUUGACCUGAUCUGUUUGGUUGUCCCUCAACGUUUGAAGGCGCCCACACCUUUCCCCAAUGUCUCGGCAAAGUCCGGUCUGUCCAAUGUCGUUUGGUUGGCCAAAGGAGAUGUUUUGCAAAAUUUUGCAGCUUGACCGGGCUGAAGGAGAUGUUGUGCAAACUGAGAAUGAGCAUGGCGAGGUAGCGAUGAAAUAGUGGUCGCCGCCGGAAGUUGGCUGGGUGAUUGAUCAAUAUAGAUGGGAGCUUCUUUGAGGAAAGCCAGACAAGCAAUCGUAGAUGCCCCACUACCCUGGCUUGAUCUGCAAUGUCAAAUCAAGAAAAAAAAUUCUUUUCUAUGGUCUACUACAGAUCACCACACUGUCUGUUGUAGGGAUCUGAACAGAACCAACUAAGGUGGUUUGCAUCUCCUUCAGUGGCAGCCUGCAGUAAGUUCCCUACAACUGAAGGGUGGUUUACAUCUCUAACUCUACCAAUCAACUACCGUGCAGCAAGUUCAGUUUGAUGUUAAGAGGAGCCGUUACAAAUAUUUUUCAUGCCACCCCAUGCUAGCCAAUGGAUUUUUUGUGUGUUUCCAAUGGAGAAGAUUUGGAUGAAGUAAUGUUUGUUUCUUCUGAAUCAACUAAACGAUGAAUCUCAGAUUACUUGCAUUGUAUAUCUAAUUGUAAUGUCUUUCAGGGUCAAACAAAGGUAUAGUGACUUACUACUGAUAUUCCCUAAUACAUUUGAAUUUUCUGUUUUAUCAACUUCCAGAUUUUUCGAAAUCCUGUUUAUUAUAUAGUGUAUAUACUCUUUUCUUGCUAGCUCUGUACUAAGAUUUUAAGAAACCUGUGCAAAAAUUAAGAUAGCUGUACAGAGUAGUUACGUUAAACUGGUUCUGUUUAAAUGGUUCCUCUGAUGUAUUUCAGAAGGGAUACAUAUCAAUGAUUUGAUAUAAACAUUCAUAUGUUUUUUUCCUGCAACGGCAACCAUGGUAUCCACAUUUUCUAGGUUUGGUUGUAAUAUGUGUGGUCUUUCCUUCAACGUUUAAUACUUGGUUUUAGAGCUGCACUUAUAGACAAUACGAUAAGGUACUUUCUGCUAUCAUAUGGAAGUGUCAUUUUUGUGAUUGUCGUAUGUAUAGCAACGAGUUCUAUUGAUAAAAAAUGGUCCAGAUAUUUUUGGUUGAAUCUAUUCUCACCAAAUUAGCCGAGCUAUCUUUUGAGUUGCGCGCAUCAGAAUCUGCAAUCCACUACAAUGUACAGUCUACUUAGUUCAACGAUACUUUCCAAUCUGCACUGGAAACUAAAAAAAAUCAAUGAGCGAACUUGAGUAAUAACAUAAUAUUUGUAUUCUGAUUGCAAAUAAUAUUUAUAAUAUUUAUCUUAUAAUAAAUGAAUGGUUUUAACUGCUGCAAAUUUCAGUAUAGUAACACAUAUUGAUGGCACCACAAAUACUUCUCCUAUUGCAGGCUUGACUUGAGACACCACUACUGAAGGUAUUUAACUGGCUUGUGCCUCUUGAUAGCUUUGUAGCUCUAGAAAUUGUUUUCGAAAUAAACAUAUGAAUUUCCUGGGAAAAUCAGUGUAGAACUCCAUGGUUUGUUUGUCAUUGCAGCCUCUCGCUUCCUACAGAGGUGGCCGAUUUGAAGGAAAAUAGCUGAGCACUGAGUUGAUGGUGCUCGCUAUAUAUUGUGGCAAUCUGUAGUUCAAGGAGCUCAAGAUAAUCCGCUUGAAGAUGCAGAUGUGGGUCUCCACACCACGCAUGUCCUUGGAGUAUCAAUAGUGGCAAAGUGACAUCACGUUGAUCUAAAAUAUGUUGUGUCCGCCUAUGAUAUGAUACUGAUCGUGAAGGUAAAUAGUUUUCUCAGCUUUCAUUAUCUCCUUUCACAGUAUAAUUUCCCUCCACUAUUGUCGGAUGCAGCUCAUGUGAUAACUUCUUACGUUUUUUGAGAGAGACUUCUUACAGACGUGUUGUUAUUUGCACUCUGGCACCUAGAGACCUACUCACGCACAUUGGGUUCAAGAUGAUCUUGGAGAAAGACUUUAGAUGGAUGACAAGCAGAUGUAGUUACAAAAUGGUGGAGAAAUAAGCCUAUUGGGUGUUGGUACUUGCCUUUUUUAUUUGUGAUAGAAUGUUGGUACUUGCCUUUUUUAUUUGUGAUAGGAUGUUGGUACUUGCCUUCGAGUGUGUUAUUGUGGUGAUACGUUCUUUUUCUUUAUUAAUUCCCAGAGGCAAAGAUAGUUCAACUUUCUUUGAUUCUAUAUAUGAUGAGUUUGUCCUGCAAAUUCUAAAUCAUGCAAGUAUUUUAUUUG